AGGCUAGAAGGAUGGUGCAUUACUUCAAUUCAUACUUCAUGACACUUAGGAUAAACUUGUGCAUCUAUCCAAAGUACCUUAAAUGAUCCAUGAUCAAUUAUAAGGUAGAUUUGAAAUGACGAAAGUUCAUCAAGCACCAAUCCAUACAUCAUGAACAAGAUGGACACAAACCAUCCAAUUGAUCAAGAGGAAAAGAAAAAGAUGAAAAGGAAAGAGACAAGAGAAGUCACACCCA
rnacentral:lncRNA from 1 species